rnacentral:lncRNA from 1 species
CAGGUUAAUGAUUUUUUAAAUCCCUGUUUGGUCUUGGUGUAGAUUCAAAAAGAGUGAACCAGGAAACAUCAUGUAAUUGAAACACUUUUAGCUUAGAAAAGAGCAGAGCAGAGGGUAACUAGCUCAGAAUUUUUAGUUGGUGGCAUGUAUUUAUGAGAUGGAAAAGUCUAUGUCUGAGAGGGGACAGAGGCUUAUCUUCUAGCGUGGAAAGGAGAAGGGGAUGGAAGAAUCACUGAAGAGGAGAAUACAGACCAAUCUCACUCCCGUGACCCCACCCAGAAGUGAUUCAAUGCAAGAGGACAGCUUGGAUCUCCUAUGACUUCAUCUCUGCCCCAACCCAUCAGCAGCAAGCACUCAUUGCCUAGCAACCACCGGCCCUUACCCCACACUGUCUUUGAAAAGCUCCUGCUUAUGAGCCUUGGAUGAGACUGAUUUGAGUGUUAACUCCACCUCCCACGUGGCGUGGCUGGCCUCCUGUCUGUGAAACUCUUUCUUUAUUGCAGUGUUGUGGUCUUUAUUUGCGCAGUGGGCAGGAAGAACCCCUUGGGUAGUUACAAAAGGUCACCUGGAAAUGAAGUGACAACUAAUUAGGUAUGAAUCAACAUGGUGAGCAAAGGUCAGGGGAGAGGUUCACACUGCGGUGAUGGAUGGUCUCAAGGGGUUGGGUCGGAUUUGCAGUAAAAGAGAUUUUCCUGGAAUCUGAGUGAUGAAGAAUAACUUGCAAAUGCAAACUUGUUUCUCCUGCUGAUGCGUUCCUAGUCUAUGUAAGUCACUGAAAAGUGUUCACCAAUUGCUUCAACAUUCAGGACUGGGAUAUAGCAAUGUUUUCGACUGAUUUUUUUUCUUUUAAUAGACUGGUUCUUGUUACUUGAGUGGGUUAGUGACCUUGAUUGCUUUUAUACUCAUAUCCACCAAGGAAGGCUGAACCCACCCUAAACAGUUCAGCCCAGUGGAAGGGAAGCUACAUAUUAAUCUGAUUAUACUUAUUCCUGAGCAUAGUAAGAUACUAGUAUACUUCUACAUUUAAAAAAUUGUUAUGCUGUCCUGGAAGCUUAAAUGAAUGCAAUGCAGUCCUUCUCAAUGACAUUCAAAUGCACCCAAUUCCUCUUUUCCAUCACUCCUAUCAUUCUCUCUAGACCCUAGUCCUCACCUGGACACCUGCAGCAGGGCCUAACCGACCUUCCUCUAAUUCAUUCACCACACACUGCCCAGAGUGAUGUUCUAAAGUACAGUGACCAUGCCACUCCCAUUAAUAAAAUCUUUCA